UAUGGCUAUUAAUUUUCGAAAAUGCUUACCAAUCCCACAUGAUCCCAAUUCGAAUGAGAUCAAACACGGAAGAGAUGCAUAUGAAUAUUAAGAUCUUAUGGUCAUCUAGUUCCCAUGCCGCAGUGCAACGCCUGGUUAAUCGGUGGAACUAGAGAUCCGUGACCUUCAGAUUGGAAAGGACGAUCUCGAAUCCCCAUUUUCCGUGGGGGAGAGGGAUCCGAGAUGGCGCAUCAGAUGAGAUGUUUGUUAUUGCUUUUACCAGCGGACUACCGUCCGACCUUGCGGUCAAGGAGCAUGUUUGUGCAAUCCGGGGGUUAGGCGUGCCGUGUCGUCCAAAUCAAAGCGGUUGACCUGCACGGACUCAAGAGCCCGAUCCGGAUCCAUCUUCCUGCCGGAUCUUCCGUCCUCCUCCGGCGAAUGAAGCAGGAGAUCGCUCUCCCGGGAGCUCAUGGAACGAAUUCAAGAGGAUGAAGGAGAAAUAAGGAGUGCUGGAUCCAGGAAGGACUUGUUCUGCUCGAUGUCAGGAGACGCGGUUUCCUUCAUCCCUUCGGUUUUCUUUGGAUCCUGAGGCAAGAAAAGCAAACGCACUCGCUCAAGCAGACGUUACACUAAUUAUUUAUUGUGGUUUUCGUGUGCCUAUUUUUUAAUGCUUUCGAUCAGGGGAGGAGCGAAAGAAAGGAGAGAUGUGGAGCCGAUCGAGAGAUAAAAGAAUUCAAAACAGGAAAACAGGGAAUUCUUUCGGCAAUUGCGGCGUCCCCAUUUUUGUUCGCAUUAAUUGCAGAAUUUCCUUGAGGCUUCGUCUCCCGGGCGGGACAGCAGAGGCGCGAGAAAAUCUACCCGAAGCAAGGGUGAUUUUGACCGAUUUCGUCUUGCUUUUAAUGAAUUUCUGGUAAAAAUAAAUGACGUUAAAUUUCGCAGUAGGUGAAGAAUUUGAUCCGAAUGAUGACGUUCCCCUCUCCCUUUUUUUAUUGUUUUAGAAACUUCAUUUCCAAGAGAUCAGCAGAAAUAUACAACUUUUUUUUCUCCUCCGAUCGGUUGUUUUUUUUUCUGACUAUAAUUUGAGGACUUGUUCGAGAUUUUAAGCUAACCAGUAAAUUUCUGGUUUUAUCA